CCGACCUUGAAAUACCACCCUUUAAUGUUUGAUGUUCUAACGUGGACCCGUAAUCCGGGUUGCGGACAGUGUCUGGUGGGUAGUUUGACUGGGGCGGUCUCCUCCUAAAGAGUAACGGAGGAGCACGAAGGUUGGCUAAUCCUGGUCGGACAUCAGGAGGUUAGUGCAAUGGCAUAAGCCAGCUUGACUGCGAGCGUGACGGCGCGAGCAGGUGCGAAAGCAGGUCAUAGUGAUCCGGUGGUUCUGAAUGGAAGGGCCAUCGCUCAACGGAUAAAAGGUACUCCGGGGAUAACAGGCUGAUACCGCCCAAGAGUUCAUAUCGACGGCGGUGUUUGGCACCUCGAUGUCGGCUCAUCACAUCCUGGGGCUGAAGUAGGUCCCAAGGGUAUGGCUGUUCGCCAUUUAAAGUGGUACGCGAGCUGGGUUUAGAACGUCGUGAGACAGUUCGGUCCCUAUCUGCCGUGGGCGCUGGAGAACUGAGGGGGGCUGCUCCUAGUACGAGAGGACCGGAGUGGACGCAUCACUGGUGUUCGGGUUGUCAUGCCAAUGGCACUGCCCGGUAGCUAAAUGCGGAAGAGAUAAGUGCUGAAAGCAUCUAAGCACGAAACUUGCCCCGAGAUG
rnacentral:rRNA from 1 species